GUGUCAGCAGCCGCGGUAAGACGUAGGGGGCGAGCGUUGUCCGGAUUUACUGGGCGUAAAGAGCGCGUAGGCGGCUCGUUAAGUGUGAAGUGAAAUCUCCAGGGCUCAACCCGGAAACUGCUUCGCAUACUGGCGAGCUUGAGGAAUGCAGAGGUAAGUAGAAUUCCUGGUGUAGCGGUGAAAUGCGUAGAUAUCAGGAGGAAUACCGACGGCGACGGCAGCUUACUGGGCAUUAUCUGACGCUGAGGCGCGAAAGCGUGGGUAGCAAACAGGAUUAGAUACCCUCGUAGUCC
rnacentral:rRNA from 1 species